GAUCAUGGCUCAGGACGAACGCUGGCGGCGUGCCUAAUACAUGCAAGUCGAACGAGAGCGACCGGUGCUUGCACUGGUCAAUCUAGUUGGCGAACGGGUGAGUAACACGUGGGUAACCUGCCCAUCAGAGGGGGAUAACAUUCGGAAACGGAUGCUAAAACCGCAUAGGUCUUCGAGCCGCAUGGUUUGAAGAGGAAAAGAGGCGCAAGCUUCUGCUGAUGGAUGGACCCGCGGUG
rnacentral:rRNA from 1 species